GACAGAGGGUGCAAACGUUGUUCGGAAUUACUGGGCGUAAAGCGCGUGUAGGCUGCUUCGAAAGUCGGGCGUGAAAUCCCACGGCUCAACCGUGGAAGUGCACUCGAAACUGCGCAGCUAGAGUCCUGGAGAGGAAGGUGGAAUGCUUGGUGUAGAGGUGAAAUUCGUAGAUAUCAAGCGGAACACCGGUGGCGAAGGCGGCCUUCUGGACAGUGACUGACGCUGAGAUGCGAAAGCGUGGGGAGCAAACAGG
rnacentral:rRNA from 1 species